CACAUUCAGUCUGCGCGCGCACACGCAUUCAUGCACACAUGGGUUUCUGGCCUUGCUCAGAGCACAGACAGGCCUACCCAGAUCAGACCCCUCGCUGGGAGCCAGGAUAAAUAUUUUCCGGGAACUUGGCUGGUCGAACAAAGGGGGAAGGAAGCCGCUUGCGUCAGAGACAACGGCGAGAUGGGUUUUUCGGAAGAGCGAGGAGCGUCGAGGGUCCGGGGGAUGAAUGGGGAAUGUCUCGCCGGACUCGCUUGUCUGACAACUCCUCUGAAAGGACAGAGACCCUCCGAGGUGGGUAAAAGACUCCCUUGUGAAGGACCUCUUGCCAUAUGUCCACAAGCAGGAAGCCCGGCUGGCUGUUGGGCCAACCCAUGCCAUGCAGCUUGGCCCUGGGGCAAGAUCUCCAGAUUCCUUCAUUGCCUUGCAUGGCGGCGCAGCUAGGACCCCUAGCAAAGUUUGCAGCAGAGUCUGAAAUGCCUCCUGCAUUCGGUCCGGGGUGGAUCUCAGCCAUGCCCCCGGUGGGGAGGACAUCGGGGUAUGUUUGGAAACGUCACCCUAGUGCAGGGGAGAGGAUUGAGCUAUCCAAAUAUGCAUUGCAUCUGUCCAGCUUUGAAGCAUCCUUCUUCUUGCAAAUAAAAAGGCCUUUCCGCUGUGAGGAUGGUACCCUGGACCGAUACCCCCAUCUACUCAAGUCUGCCCCAAAGUAAAAGCCUGCAAUGGCCAACCAGAUACCCAGCUGACCAAAAUAGAAACGCCAUGAGGAGAGCUCCCCUUGGCCAGUGACUUCAGGAUUCCUCUAAAGUUGGGAAGGGGCUCGGGGAUCAUCCUGACCUGGGGGCAACUAGUAUGCCAAGACAGACAUAAGCAAAGCUGUCUCGAGAGAAGUACAUCACACAAUCCCCGAAGCCCUCGAUUCGGCAUUUACAUCUGUGUAUAUUUUCAGUACGGGCACGUGCAGGCUUUGCUGCUGAUACGCCCCUCGUGUUUCCGCAGGGCAGGCGUGUAGACUACGUGGGAUUUCGGUGUCGUUGGACCUAAAUGCGUCUCCCGCACGUUCUGGAAUAGCUUGGUGGGUGAAACUCAGACAGAGCUGUGCUCCGACAGAGCAGGUGGUUUGAUCAACGCUGAAAGGCAACAUUGGGUCAGUUUUGCUCGAAUUUUAUUUAGAAGGCAAAUUGUGGGUUGGGGGCAGAAGGAUCUUACAAUGUCUCGAUGAACGAUUUGGGCGUUUCAGUGGGGAAUGACUUGUUGCAGAUCCUCAAGCCUGUAUUAUACUGGAAUGCGAAAUGAA